rnacentral:rRNA from 1 species
AACGAACGUUGGCGGCAGGCCUAACACAUGCAAGUCGAACGCUGUAGCAACACAGAGUGGCAGACGGGUGAGUAACGCGUGGGAACAUGCCCUUCGGUUCGGAAUAACUCAGGGAAACUUGAGCUAAUACCGGAUACGCCCUUAGGGGGAAAGAUUUAUUGCCGAAGGAUUGGCCCGCGUCCGAUUAGCUAGUUGGUGAGGUAACGGCUCACCAAGGCGACGAUCGGUAGCUGGUCUGAGAGGAUGAUCAGCCACACUGGGACUGAGACACGGCCCAGACUCCUACGGGAGGCAGCAGUGGGGAAUAUUGGACAAUGGGCGCAAGCCUGAUCCAGCCAUGCCGCGUGAGUGAUGAAGGCCCUAGGGUUGUAAAGCUCUUUCGCCAGGGACGAUAAUGACGGUACCUGGAUAAGAAGCCCCGGCUAACUUCGUGCCAGCCGCCGCGGUAACAC